UUCUCUAGAGUGCCUAAGAGGUAGAGAGGCU
rnacentral:piRNA from 1 species